rnacentral:rRNA from 1 species
UACGUAGGGUGCAAGCGUUGUCCGGAAUUAUUGGGCGUAAAGAGCUCGUAGGCGGUUUGUCGCGUCUGCUGUGAAAACUCUGGGCUCAACCCAGAGCCUGCAGGCGAAACUGUGGUGCUGGAGUAUGGGAGAGGUGCGUGGAAUUCCCGGUGUAGCGGUGAAAUGCGCAGAUAUCGGGAGGAACACCGGUGGCGAAGGCGGUUCUCUGGGCCUUACCUGACGCUGAGGCGCGAAAGCCAGGGGAGCGAACGGG